UACGAAGGGGGCUAGCGUUGCUCGGAAUCACUGGGCGUAAAGGGCGCGUAGGCGGCCAUUCAAGUCGGGGGUGAAAGCCUGUGGCUCAACCACAGAAUUGCCUUCGAUACUGUUUGGCUUGAGUUUGGUAGAGGUUGGUGGAACUGCGAGUGUAGAGGUGAAAUUCGUAGAUAUUCGCAAGAACACCAGUGGCGAAGGCGGCCAACUGGACCAACACUGACGCUGA
rnacentral:rRNA from 1 species